AUUGAACGCUGGCGGCAUGCCUUACACAUGCAAGUCGAACGGUAACGGGCCUUCGGGUGCCGACGAGUGGCGAACGGGUGAGUAAUACAUCGGAACGUGCCCGAUCGUGGGGGAUAACGAGGCGAAAGCUUUGCUAAUACCGCAUACGAUCUACGGAUGAAAGCAGGGGACCGCAAGGCCUUGCGCGGACGGAGCGGCCGAUGGCAGACUAGGUAGUUGGUGGGAUAAAAGCUUACCAAGCCGACGAUCUGUAGCUGGUCUGAGAGGAUGAUCAGCCACACUGGGACUGAGACACGGCCCAGACUCCUACGGGAGGCAGCAGUGGGGAAUUUUGGACAAUGGGCGCAAGCCUGAUCCAGCCAUGCCGCGUGCAGGAUGAAGGCCUUCGGGUUGUAAACUGCUUUUGUACGGAACGAAAAGCCUUCUUUUAAUACAGGAGGGUCAUGACGGUACCGUAAGAAUAAGCACCGGCUAACUACGUG
rnacentral:rRNA from 1 species